rnacentral:lncRNA from 1 species
GGGGGACAGCAGGCCUGGUCACCAGCUUUUGUACCUGUCUCUGCAAGCAUUGCAUUGCUGGAAGAGAAUCUCAUGCCAGAGCUUGGACCAUGCCUUGCUCAGGGGUUAGGGGUUGUCUCUUGGUGACCUAAAUGAAAAAAUAGCUCCAGAUCAUAGUUCCCACAGAGCCCAAGGCUGGAAACCUCCAGAAUCCUCUGGCCCCCAAUCCUCCCCAGGGACCCCUGUGGCCUAUCUCACAAGAACAUUCUUCCAUCUGUAGAUUUCUUGGCUGCUCCACAAGGGAGUCCCACUUCAGGUGUGGUGCUGGGCAUGGUCACUCCUGCUGGAUGUUUAGAAGGUGGAAACCAAGGACCUAGGGAAAUACCAGGUACAGCCUUUCCACCCUCAUCCAGAGAAGGACAAAGAGGCCAGGCGGUGUCAGGAGCCCAGGUCUCCAGCUGGAGGGAACGUCAACCCUGCAGUGGGAGCAGGGGCCCAUUGCACAUCCUAGGCAGAGAUGAUAACGUAGGAACCACAGAAGCUCUGCUGACAGUUUGGUGAUUGCCAUUGGGGCAGUGAGCCUUUUGUCCGUUCUGAGGUUGGGCUGGUUUCUCCUCUUGGCCCUGCCCUACAGACCAUAAAGGAAAUCAGCAAGAAGUCCCCAGCAAACAUCCACAGAUGGCCCUGGACAUCAGCCACAUUCUGAGAAACAUGUCAUGUUCUGGGAGGGCUAAGGCAUCAAGGCCUGUGACCUGGUGCACAACUUUAGACACCAUCAUCCUGGAGCAGCACUGCACCCUCACUAGCCAGGGUGUUCAUGACUUCCUCAAGGCCAAGGCCACGUUCAAGACUUGGGACUUCAGUGAUGCACUUGUGCUGGGCAAGGUGGCUUCUCCGGUAUCUUAAUUUGGGAGGUAGAAUGCAGCUUGAAAUCAAAUGUCUGAUCAAAGAACUUGAACUUGAUCUGGAGGGCUCUGGGGAGCCAUGGAAGGUGCUGGAUAAAGGAGGGACAGUCAGAUAUGUCUUAGAGAUGACUGUAGAAGGCUGCCUGGAAGGAAUGAACAAGAGCCAGGAGACGCAGGAGGGAGCUUGUGGGGCAGGUCUGGAGAUGGCAAGGGAGGGAUCCUGCUUGGAUGAAAAGUCUUCAGGGACUGUUUCAGGUUACACUCAGGUGCCCUCAGAGCUAAUGUGUUCAGAGGUCUUGUCUCCAGGAUGAAAAUGGGAAGGAGUUGUCAGAUGAGGACAUAUAAAUGGAGGCUGGCAUCUUCAUGAGUACCAGCGGUGGUCCCGGUGUGGGUCUCUCCAUCCAGGGACAUGGUGGAUGGACACUACAUCAUUCCAUUCUGCCCUUCCUUUCCCUCCUCCCAUUCUCCCGAGGGCCUCAGUGCAUGGGCGGUGUCCAACCUCUGGUGCUGAAGCAGCCGAGAGACCCAAGCCUGCGUGGCUGCCUCUUAGGAUAUGACAGCACAGCCACUGGGCUCUACUGAAUCCUGUGCAACCUCAGAAGACACCCAGGAGUGAUGCCAUCACGUGGUGCAAGAGUUCUGAGGGACCGCAAUCCUGAAGACAUUGAAUGGCUGUGUUCCUGCUCACUGCUGGAGGCGCUGUCAGGGGCCCUGUCCUCAACCCCGGGUCUGACCCUUGCAGAUCAGGCAGGACAUUCUGGAGGAAUCAUGCCCUUGGAAGGAUCCCUGAGGAGUGACUGUUGUUAGAUUAAAAAACAGUGGCAAAGAGCAAUACAGAGAGUUGCCAAAAUUCACACCGCUGGUCCAGGUUUGAAGCAAGCAAUCUGUACCUGCAGUCCUUGUCUGUAACCAUGGCACCCUGGCUUCUCACACAUCUCAUCGUGGAGUUCCACCAUGUGUCAGGCAUGGCACUGAGCACCUUCUUUUAAGAAUAUAAUUUGUAAUUAUGUAGAUUAUUAAUUCUACUUCAAAAUGCCACACAGCCUUCAUGUGAUAAAAUGAAACAAUUGGUGAGUCUAAGCAUUGAGAAAAAAUGUUCUUUUUUCCACUCCUGACUCCAUUCCAACAGUUGGGACAGUGUUUUCUCUGUGCCUGUAGAAACCUCAGCUCCUGUGCUGAGGAGCCUGUUCCCUUUGGGGAAUGUGGCAGUGAGGUGCUGGCAGGGACCUCGAAGCGGCUGAAGGGUCAUUAAGAAAAAGCUGUUUACGUAGGUGUGGGCAGGGCCAAGGGGAACCAGGGGGGAUGGCGCAGGGCCCUGGGGUUAGCGUCAUCUGGGAGCUGUCACCACCCUCCAGGCUGGUGGGGCCAUGGAGAAGCUGUUUCAGUAACUCAGAGAAUCUGCAGCUGAAAGAGGAGGCCAGAGGAGACAUCACUCACUGUGCCCUUUGACUGCAUCUGGAUGCCCUCACUGACCACACUACCAUCCACUUAUUAGACUGGAGAGGCUGCAGGGAG